AUCCCAUGAUGUGGACAUUGAUAUAAAAGAGUUAAGAAUCAAUCUCAUACUUGACAUAAACUCUCCCCUUCUUUUUGUUCAAAUUGUAAGAUUUGAUUCCUCAGAU